rnacentral:lncRNA from 1 species
GAAGAAAUUAAGGGUCAAACAUUAGCUCCAAUAAUUGUUCAAAAUAUAAGACAGCUAUAUUCAAAUAGAAACUAAAUAACAACUAAAGCAUCCAAUGGAAUUUCACUCUUCAUCACUAAAUGUUUCCUCAUAAACAUGGCUUCAUCCAAAACAAAACCUCAUAACCAUUACAAUUUGCGUUUUAAGCAGAAGCUGCUGCAACCUUUUUUCUUGCUGCUGCAACCUUCUUUCUUGCUGCUGCUACAGUACCUAUGCAUCACCCCCAAUAAAAAAUUAGAACAUUUUGAAAGAAAAAAAAACCCAAAAUUUCUUACAAGAAUAGAAAUACGCAAUGGAACUAAAAUCAGAAAGCAAUGAGCCUAAGGACAUUAGCAUUUUCCUACAUUCCCUGAAACCUGUCUUGAACCUACGAGGAACGUGGCGAAGAUACCUCUAUACACCGGUGAUGGAGAUGUUAGCCUCAUCUAAUUGAAAUCAACAGCUGGAAACACAAAUAAUCACACAAGUUAAAAAACCCAAAAUAAGUACUUAAACACUUCAAUUUGCAACAUUUAAGCACUUCAAUUUACAGCAUUUAAACACUUCAAUUUGCAGCAUUCAAACACUUCAAUUUGCAGCACUUUAACAUCUCAAUUAACAACAUUUAUACACCUCAAUUACAGCGAUAAAACAUCUCAAUGUCCAGCAACUAAACACUUCAAUUUGCAGUACUUAAACACUUCAAUUUGCAACAUUUAAGAACUUCAAUUUACAGCAUUUAAACAUUUCAAUUUGCAGCACUUUAACAUCUCAAUUAACAACAUUUAUACACCUCAAUUACAGCGAUAAAACAUCUCAAUGUCCGGCAACUAAACACUUCAAUUUUUAGUACUUAAACACUUCAAUUUGCAAUAUUUAAGCACUUCAAUUUACAGCAUUUAAACACUUCAAUUUACAGCAUUCAAACACUUCAAUUUGUAGCACUUUAACACUUCAAUUUAUAGCAUUUAAACACUUCAAUUUGCAGCACUUUAACAUCUCAAUUAACAACAUUUAUACACCUCAAUUACAGCGAUAAAACAUCUCAAUGUCCAGCAACUAAACACUUCAAUUUGCAGUACUUAAACACUUUAAUUUGCAACAUUUAAACACUUCAAUUUACAGCAUUUAAACACUUCAAUUUACGGCAUUCAAAUACUUCAAUUUACAGCACUUUAACACUUCAAUUUACAGCAUUUAAACACUUCAAUUUGCAGCACUUUAACAUCUCAAUUAACAACAUUUAUACACCUCAAUUAUAGCGCUAAAACAUCUCAAUGUCCAGCAACUAAACACUUCAAUUUGCAACAUUUUAGCACUUCAAUUUACAGCAUUCAAACACUUCAAUUUGCAGCACUUUAACACUUCAAUUUACAGCAUUUAAACACUUCAAUUUGUAGCACUUUAACAUCUCAAUUAACAACAUUUAUACACCUCAAUUACAGCGAUAAAACAUCUCAAUGUCCAGCAACUAAACACUUCAAUUUGCAGUACUUAAACACUUCAAUUUGCAACAUUUAAGCACUUCAAUUUACAGCAUUUAAACACUUCAAUUUACAACAUUCAAACACUUCAAUUUGCAGCACUUUAACACUUUAAUUUACAGCAUUAAAACACUUCAAUUUGCAGCACUUUAACAUUUCAAUUAACAACAUUUAUACACCUCAAUUACAGCGAUAAGACAUCUAAAUUUCUAGCAACUAAACACUUCAAUUUGCAGUACUUAAACACUUCAAUUUGCAACAUUUACUACUAAUAUAUAAUUUUAGGAUUCAUUAACUAAGAAAAGGAAGGAAAAAUAUUCUUACUGUCAUGGAAUAUCGCCUGCAACCAGCCAUUCUCCUUCUUUGUCCUGGUAGGUGAGAAUAUAAUCAUCUUCAUCACAUUUCUUGUCUGUUCAUGACAUGAAAAAGAAAAAAGCAAGCUGAAUAUUGAGAUUUUUGGUAUUCUUUUAUCUUUUGAGGAAUUUAUGUAUAUAAUCAAUGACUUUACCUUUGGCAAACAUGGUGAUCAAGGAGUGAUUUAUAUUUUAAAUCAUGAAAAUCUUUUACUUAAGGAAAAUAAUGUUUUAGUAUAUAUAUUGUUGGAGUGAUUUAAACCUUUUUGGAUCUUAUGCGUUUAAAGACAGAAUCAAGUUGUUGCUCCAAAUUUUGAAGCUCUCUAAGACUAAAAUUUUAGAUAUCUUCUCCUUCGUAAUGCCUAGAAAUAUAAUUAAUUAUUUAUUAAAAGAGAAAGAUGCAUGCCUUGAAUGUAUCUGAAAUUUGAAGCCAUUGGGGGUACCUCAGGUUUCUUUGUAAAGUCUGCAUUCUAGCUUUAAGUUUUGCAUGUUCCCAGGUCCAGUUUCCCUGUAAAAAAACAUAUUGAAAUCAUCCCAAGUCAACAAGUAGAACAUAUUUGGUGUAAUAACUAUUAUGAUGUUGAUGUAACAAUUUAAGUCAACAAUAAUAAAGCAUUCAAAAAAUAUAUAAAUUCUUUAAAAUUUCAAGUAAUAAAUAAAUAUUCAACUUUAUUUCAAUUUAGAUAUCCCGUUGAAGUUGAUUUUCAAUGUAGUUUUUUAAAUUAUAAAAUGAAGUUAAAUUUUCUGAAAAAUAUACAAAAAUUUAUUAAAAAUUUGUGAAAGAUCUUAAGAUUAUAAAAAUAACUCAACAUCUUUAUCACUCUUAAGAUCUUGUAUAAACUCAACAUCUUUAUUGAAAGGCAGACUCAACAUACCAAACAGUUUAACCUCAAAUUUGCAUUGGUUCAGAUGUCUUUACUCACGUCUUUAUUGACAGGUUUUAUGGAGACUAAUUGUUCUGCUUUCUAAAAAGUGAAUCUAAAUGCAUAACUAAUAACCAGCACCCCUAUCAUUUAAAACACCAACAAAUAGAAAAUGACUACAUUACUUCAAAGGACAAAUAGAAAGUACUCAAUUUAUCACGUAGACUACAUUACUUCAAAGGAUCCAGAAUUGAAUGCAAAUAGAAUCACAAUCAAUCCAAUCCCAUGAAAUUCAAAGAAAACAUACAGCAGAACUUAGGGGAGAAAAACAAAUAAGCAAGAGAACAGACGCAUACCAGUGGGAAUAUCUUUAAGCUGAGUACCACGACCCUGAAAAGCAAAUCAAAGUUCAAAAAACAAUCAUAACACAAAGAAAAUAAAUUGAAUGGCCUACACAUGACUCUGAAGAGCUGGGUUUUCAAAUUUCCCCAGAUAUUUAUAGGUUUGAUUCACAAUUAUUACCCAAACUAUCAUACAGUCCAUAAAUUUGCUUUCCACCAUUCUAUUUUCUCUCUCCAUCCAAUCUCCCUUUUCCAUUUCUUGCUUUUAUCUCUUCUUCUUCCAUGUCUCCUCAACCCGACCCAUGCCUGACCCGAUUUGUAUUAUCUGCUGGCGAAUGCAUUCCUUUUUCCUUCACUUCUGGAGAAAACAAUUGCUGAGGAAACGCCUCUUGCUUCUUAUUCUGGUCUCCAAAUCAAACGUUUGUUUUCUCUUUUGAAUAUCCGAUUUGAGUUUUUGGAUGGGGGAAAAUUAUAACAAGUUGAAAAAAUCAACGGCUUCACAAACCGGAAGAUUGGGGAGGGUACGUAACGCCGUGGGUAAAGGAAAUAGCCGAGAAUUUGACUUGCUUGAAAUCGGUGCAUUUUAGGAGGAUGAUUGUUAAUGAUUCAGAUUUGGAAGUAUUGGGUAGGUCUAGGGGGGAAUUUGGGGGAUUUGGUUAACGAGCGGGUAAACAAAAAAUAAUUUUUGGGAGUGAGCAGAUUUUGCCUUUUUUUAUAAAAAAAUAAUGGCCCUUU